GGUUCCAUGGUGUAGCGGUAGCAUGCUUGCUUUGGGCCGCGCGUUCUCCAAUUGCAAGAGGUCAUCGGUUCAAUCCCGGUUGGAGCCC